rnacentral:rRNA from 1 species
UGCCAGCAGCCGCGGUAAUACGGAGGGUGCAAACGUUGCUCGGAAUCAUUGGACGUAAAGCGCACGUAGGCGGUUCGUUAAGUCGGAUGUGAAAGCCCUGGGCUCAACCGAGGAAGUGCAUUCGAAACUGGCGGACUUGAGUACGGGAGAGGGCUGCGGAAUUCUCGGUGUAGAGGUGAAAUUCGUAGAUAUCGGGAGGAACACCUGUGGCGAAGGCGGCAGCCUGGACCGAUACUGACGCUGAGGCGCGAAGGCGUGGGUAGCGAACGGGAUUAGAUA